AUUGAACGCUGGCGGCAUGCCUUACACAUGCAAGUCGAACGGCAGCACGGGUGCUUGCACCUGGUGGCGAGUGGCGAACGGGUGAGUAAUACAUCGGAACGUACCUUAUCGUGGGGGAUAACGCAGCGAAAGCUGUGCUAAUACCGCAUACGCCCUGAGGGGGAAAGCGGGGGAUCGCAAGACCUCGCGCGAUUAGAGCGGCCGAUGCCUGAUUAGCUUGUUGGUGGGGUAAAAGCCCACCAAGGCGACGAUCAGUAGCUGGUCUGAGAGGAGGAUCAGCCACACUGGGACUGGGACACGGCCCAGACUCCUGCGGGAGGCAGCAGUGGGGAAUUUUGGACAAUGGGGGCAACCCUGAUCCAGCAAUGCCGCGUGAGUGAAGAAGGCCUUCGGGUUGUAAAGCUCUUUUGUCAGGGAAGAAACACCGGCUCUAACACAGUCCGGGAAUGACGGUACCUGAAGAAUAAGCACCGGCUAACUACGUGCCAGCCGCCGCAGUAA
rnacentral:rRNA from 1 species